CCUACGGGAGGCAGCAGUGGGGAAUUUUGGACAAUGGACGCAAGUCUGAUCCAGCAAUGCCGCGUGCAGGAUGAAGGCCUUCGGGUUGUAAACUGCUUUUGUACGGAACGAAAAGGUCUGCCCUAAUACGGUGGGCCCAUGACGGUACCGUAAGAAUAAGCACCGGCUAACUACGUGCCAGCAGCCGCGGUAAUACGUAGGGUGCAAGCGUUAAUCGGAAUUACUGGGCGUAAAGCGUGCGCAGGCGGUUUAUAUAACGACAGAUGUGAAAUCCCCGGGCUCAACCUGGGACCUGCAUUUGUGACUGUAUAGCUAGAGUACGGUAGAGGGGGAUGGAAUUCCGCGUGUAGCAGUGAAAUGCGUAGAUAUGCGGAGGAACACCGAUGGCGAAGGCAAUCCCCUGGACCUGUACUGACGCUCAUGCACGAAAGCGUGGGGAGCAAACAGGAUUAGAUACCCUGGUAGUCCACGCCCUUAAACGGAUGUACACUGGUUGUUGGUAUUCUUUACGUGUAUCUAGUAACGAACGACGUACGUACGNGAGUUAGUACGCCGUCGGAGGUACGGCGCGAGUAGUAACGUAAGUAGAGUAGUAGCGNGAGAGNGCGACGACGACGACGAGGGAGGAGG
rnacentral:rRNA from 1 species